AUGUACAUUCAUCUUUUUCCCUGGCACUGCAGUGGUCCUGCUCAGUUCUGGAUGCCAAGUACUCUCAAUCUUGUAAGAAAACACUGUACCAGAGGGUGGUGUGCAUGUCUGACUUUGGCUCAGGGUGACAUAAAUUAUUUUUGCUUUUGCUAUUAUAGAGGCAUUUCUUUGAGAUACACCUUUCUUAUAUUUAUAGACACUGAUCAAAAUUUCAUGGACUGGAAAGCAGGAGAAAAGGGAAUUGGAGUGCAGAGUCCUGACACCUAUCAUCACUUUUAUAUGCCAAGGGCAUGUCUGGAUGACCCAUGUCUCCUGCAGUGCAGCCUGGUCUGCUGCUUGUUCACAGGCCGUAGCAAUGCCUCCCUGGCUCAGUGGCAGCUGUACUCUGCAGGACAGAACCUGACAGAUUUGAAGCAGACAUCGCUGUCUAUGGAGACAGCCUUCAGAACCGUAAGUGUCUGGGAUGCAGACAAAUACAUGUCCCUGCAAAUCUACUGAAGAACAUAAGUUACCUGUAGUUUCUGAAUUACACUUUUAGCAUUUCACUAUAGAAAAAACUAGCUACUUCAAAUUUUAAUUUAAAUUCUUGACAAACCUAAUUUAUAAUGAACUUCAUAAUGUUCAGAAAAAAUGUUUGUUUUACAGCAUCAUCCUUUUUACUGCAUACAGAAACACAGUAGAAGUUCAAAAGCAUACUUCCCUACAGUCAAAUUUUGUUCUUUGUUAUAAUCCCAUUGUCCUGAUGACUGUGAGCAUGCAUCUGAAACCAGAAACUCUGGCUCACUGAAUUAUAGUAAAUUCUGAUGUAGCAAACUGUGUUGGUCAAGUUGUUUAUGUGACACAUUCCAAAUUCCCUGAAAGCCUAGAAUUGUCAAAGCCUAGGAUUGUCUUAAUUUACUCCAGUGUGGUGAAAACAGAAUGCAACUUGGAACAAAUUGGUCUAAUUAACUUAAUAUUAGAAUGUAUUUGCUAUUGUUAGAGCAGUAGAGCCUGAAAAAUACAACUACAGUGUAACAACCACAAAGUUAAACAGUUUCAAGAAGUUCACAGAACAAGAUAAAAUUGGGAUGGAGGAGAUUCUGAGAAAUUUAAUCCAUUUCCCUUUUCUGAUUAUGGUUGUCAUCACUAUAGGCAGGUCUGUCAAAUCUGUUGGAGAAAAAUCUCCAGUAAUGCCAAAUGUACCGUCAUACAGAAACACCAUAGAUAUCCAUUUAUUUAUUGAAAGUUACAACAGCAUUAAAAGAGAAAUCUGUUGUGGCCAAUUAUUCUGCCUUCAAUGCAGAUUCUGAUCUUGAACUCAACCAAAGGAGGACCUCCUAAUGCACACAGAUCAUCUCUCAUGGGAGAGAUUUAGCAGAUCUCCAUGCUCUGUUUUGGAGGGCAUGGGAGGGCCAGUUGCUGCUUUCUGCUAAAACUUUGUGCCUGAUGUAUCUGUUUAAAUUUGUAUACACCUCUGCUUGGUUCAGUCAUCUACUCUCAGCUGAACACAGAAAUUACAUGUACUUCCAGGAUCCAUACUGCUGUUUUUUUGGGGUUUUUUUGAUGUAGUUGAAAAUCUGGGCUGCUAAGCUUCUGAGGUUUUGUUUGUUUGUUUUCAUAUGGAGGAUGAAUAAAUUAAAUAAGUGGUUUUUCUUCCA
rnacentral:lncRNA from 1 species